rnacentral:lncRNA from 1 species
UUUUUUUUUUUUUUUUUUUUUUUUUUUUUUUAUGCAGCCCUUUUUUUUUUUUUUUUUUUUUUUUUUUUUUUUUUUUUUUUUUUUUCUUUCUCUU